AAACAUAUAGGUUUGGUCUUGGCCUUUUCAUUAGCUUUUAGCUAACUUAUACAUGCAAACAUCCCUGCCCCAGUGAGAAUGCCCUCUAUAUCUAUUAAUUGAUCAAAAGGUGCAGGCAUCAAAUUCAUCAUCCUAAUAGCUCAUAAUACCUUGCUCCAUCACACCCCCACGGGAUACAGCAGUAAUUAAAAUUAAGCCUAUAAACGAAAUUUUGACUAAGUUAAAUAAGGGUUGGUAAAUUUUGUGCCAGCCACUGCGGUCAUACAAUUAACCCUAGUUAAUGAAACACA
rnacentral:lncRNA from 1 species